UGCUGAAAUUGCAGCAGGAGCACCAGCAGCCUUCCUGAAACUCACAGCUCACACUCCAUGCAGCCCCACUCAGCUCCCUCCCCCCAUCGUUAUUCCAAAAAGCCAAACAGGAAGAGCAAUAUUAAGGGAUCAGCCUGCUGCCCCAUCUCUCUCUCUCUCUGAGAACAGCUUAAACAAUAGUCCUGAUACAUUGUAACAAUCAUCCUUCCUUUCCAUCCCAGGGAGAUGGCUUCAGCAUCAGGACCAGCAGCAUGACAAGAAACAGCAGCAGCAACUGGAUUGGGGGGGAUGCAACAAGGGGGUGAUUGCAUGCACUAGCAUGCAAGGCAGGAACUGGAGAGAACACUGUGUAGUUGGGAUCUGCUACAUUGUAUCCAUGCAGUGAGGUCCAUGGUCCCAUGCCAGUGCAAGCCUGCUGGGUAAAGAGGUCCAGGAGAUGACACCUUGAGAUGUUCCUCUGGAAUGUGGUCUUUUUGGACAUUGAGGUGGGAUAAAAGCACAAGCUAUGCAGUAAGCUCUGAUACUAAGAAUUUUCCCUGGUCAGUGUUGUCUAUGUUUUUUCUAUAGCCCCCUGGUGACAUUGUAUGUAGAUGGGGAAACGUGAAAUAAGGAUUGUCCACGUUCUCCCAGCUUUUUGUUAUUGAUUUAUGUAUUAUUUGUGUAUUAUCUGUAAAGGAGUAUGUGCUUUGCCCCCCAUGUGUUUAAAUUCCAUUUGGAUGAAUUUGUUAGUGACAUACCCAGAUGUGGGUGCUUAUUGACCAAACCCAUGCAGAAGAAGAAAUACAAG